CUCGAAGCACACGACCAGUCAUCGUGAAAU
rnacentral:rRNA from 1 species